GCAUAGCUCAGCUGGUAGAGCAUGAGACUCUUAAUCUUAGGGUUGUGAGUUAGAGCCCCACUUUGGGUG
rnacentral:tRNA from 1 species